UGAAUCAACCUUCUUUAUUUUUAAUUUUCAAGUUUCUUUUUUCAUUUUUGCUCAUUAAAAAUCACCUUGCUCUGCAAUAAGAAAUAUAUUACCCUUGCAAGGGAAUCACCAGCUGUAAUUCCCUUUUAACAUUUAUUGCAUCACCAAAAUGGUACCACAGUCUUUUCGUCGUUUGCAACCAUUUGAGUCGGAUAGCACAUUGAGUAUAAAAAAGAUGGUGAUCCCCGUCCUAUUUAUAUCGGUGUCUUUUAUUUCUUCUGUGAGGGCACAGACUUGCCAAAUCGAUGAGUACUUCAAUGUCGGAAAGCAAAUAUGUUUUCCAUGCUCGAAAUGUGUUUUUGGACAGCAUGAAGUCAAGACAUGCAAUGAAACAGAAGAUAGACAGUGUGAGGACUGUCCAAAUAAAACCUACUACAACGGAAGGUCUUGCAUAAAUUGUUCAAGAUGUAUCAAUGGCGAGAUUAGGCCCUGUAAUGUUUCCUCAGACGCACUCUGUCUUAAGGAAAGUACACCAAAAGAAGGCUCAAAAGUUGCUGUUGCUCUUACCUUGACGUUUGUUUCUUGUGCUGUUGCGUUGGCAAUCGGUUUAGUCGCUGUCUACAUGUACAAAAGGAAACGCAGGCAAAAACCACCAAAGGAAACCCCAGAAGAAGUGCCAAUGAACGGGAUAGAAUAAUGAUAUGGCAGGAAAAUCGCUGAAAGUAUAAACAAUAGAGAACCUAGCUGGAAAGGUUUGAGGCUUUCGAUUUGUGUAAUUUAGGAGGAAGUGACACUAAGUGCAAGUCAUCAAUUCCCGUGAUAAGAAACAACAAUUUCUGAAUUUCAUCAAUUGUUUAUUAUUAAAGGCAUGGCUCGUGCAACUUCAAAUGGUGAGGCAUGGAUUUAUUAUUCAAACCUACUGAUUAUAUAUUUGCAUUAACAUAGCAUGAACUAUGUAACGAGAUGGUAUUGUUCAGCCAAAUUUUUCCUGUAAUGUUUCUAAUUAGAGCCAUGGCGUUUGUUCAAAGUACUAAGCGGCAAUGGUUGAGGGGGGGGGGGGGGGGGGGGGGGGGGGGGGGGGGGGGGGGGGGGGGGGAGUGUUGUUAGAUAGUGAAUAGAUUUUGGUGCCUCACCCUUAAGGCGACUAGAAAAAUGAUGGAGAAGCCAAUUUCUAAAAAUCAGUUUUAACUUUUAAGAAAAGAAGAUAAGAAGAUAGAUAAAAUUAAUAUUUUAGAUCAUUUUGUUACUUCUGGCUUUUUACCGAAUCAAAGCAGAAUUUUUCGAAUGACAAAACUGUUAAGGGGGUGUCGCAACCCUAAGAUUCCCGGUAAAUCCAUCCAUAUUAAACCCUUGUUGGAUCAAUCUGCAUCUAAUCUGAAUAGCGUUCAUGAAGACCUUGAUGUUCCUGUAACAUGAUAUCCUUUUAUUCCCUGUGUCUCCACUUUCCUACGCCGUUGCUUGCAUGAAACUAACCUAUGCAGGGAUCGGUAUCUACAAAAUGGAUUCUGUGAAAAUAAAGCUAGAAAACGAUUAAAUGAAAUGGCUUAGUUUGAGCGUAUAAAUCUAUUUCUUUGUCUCUUGAGUUAUGGAAUGAUUCAGGUGGUUCUUAUAGGGGUGGUUCAGGGGGCCCAUCUCUACUAUUAGCCCCUUAUUUUUAUCUAUGACCAUGACAACGAACCCUCAGAUUUUGGGACAGUUGGAGGGUCAUGAUAGCCAACCUUCUGAUAGAAGAUGGUACCUGAAGAUGAUAUUAGAGAGGGGGGCUUGUUAAGGAGAGGUGCUAAUUAAAAGUAUGCACCAGGAAUCUUGACAUAAAUCUGCAAGGUAACUAAUUGACAAAUUCAUCUAGCAGAUAUGGCCUUGAUUUUGAAGUGACUUGCACUUUGUUAUCUUCAAUGUUAAAAGAACGAGAAAGUAUUGCAAAUAAUAUCUUGUAAAUAGUUUAUACGAGUUAGAUGAUUGUUCUGUUGACCUAAGUGUCUUUUGUUGCUAUAUUUGUAGUCUGCUUUUUAGAAUUUUGUAAAUUUAUAGGUACAUUGAAUUGGUUUGUUUUAUUUAUUUAGUAAAGUAUUAUAAAGACUAUAUAUAUAAUAUUUCCAUCGAUUUGAAUUCAUUCUUGAUUUCGAUAUUGGUCCAAUCCUUUGCAUGCCCCAGUGUAGUUAGUUAACAAUCUUUGUAAAGCUAGUCUAAUUUGACCUUUAAUAUACCAUAAAAGUCAAGGGGGAAUGUGUCGCCUAUUCAAAGACUGACGAAAACAGUCUGCUAGUCAGUUUUCAGGUGGAAAUUUCCCGUCAAUCUCUUGAAAACAGAUAACUUGAUGCUUGAGCGUUGUUUCAAUUCCAAAUAAUGUUUGAAUUAUAUUUCUUCCUUUUACAUUUACGAAUAGAUAUUUUAUGCAUCAGUGUCAGUGACAUUUCCUGCAACGUUGGUUGUAAAUUUGCAGAGCCAGGCAAAAUCCUGAGUUACAACUAAGCUUCUUUUCUUGAGUCGUAUGCAAUAUGUUUUGAAUUGUAAAUCAUAUUCUUCGCAACAUCUUCGCGAAAUAGGUACCCCUCUCCCCCCUAUCAAUAUUGGAGCUCAAGCUAUAGCAUCAAAGAGCCAUUGGAACAUCUAAAAAGUUGAAUUGGAGGAAAGAGGGGGGGGGGGAGGGAGUUUCUAAAUGUUUUUUAAAAAUUCAGCCCUUUUUUCUUGGAUUUUAGCUCUCAAGCAUUUUUUGGCAAACAACAAGCCUAAGUAAAUAUGUUAUUUCAUGCAUUCAUCCCAUAUAUAUUUAGUUUAAAGCACUGGUUAGUUACACGGUUAAAGCAAGGCAAUAUGCUCCAGCCGGACCCUCAGUUUCAAAGAGCCCCAUAUUGCUAUUUCAAUCAAAAAAUAUUCUAUUCAAAUAUUGAGUAGAAACUGGUAAUUUCAUAUACGCAUUUAAUGUUGUUGUUCUUGAAUUAUUUAAAGUACAAUUAGUUUUAUAUGACAAUUUAUCAUAAAUAACACUGAGUUUUGUCGAAUAUUUCAGGAAAUUUUUCCGGUUUUACCUUGUUUUUUCUGCACUUUUGUCUGUUGGUAAAACAUAAUUGGAAAUUUUCUAAACAGCUUUAUUGGUAUAUACUGAGAGGUACCAUAAUAGAAAAAAAAACAAAACUUCUAAUGAAAGCAUGCAGUUUUUUAAGUCCUUGCAACGCCCCAGGCUUCCCAUAUCAAUGUAUUCACACGACUCUGCAGAUUUAGCAGAGUCGUUUUCAUUAAAUUACAACUUCAGCUUCUAUUUCUGUUUGCCAAUUGUUAGAGCAAGAAGGUUUCAUACACUUUCCCACGUGAUAAGAACUUAACUCGUGACCCUUCUUUGUUCUUGAUAAGAACAAAGUUUCCAUGGACACACGUUGAAAACAGCUUUUUUAAUGUAAUCUGUUUUAUACAUGAUAAAUGUUCGAAUUAUUCUUUUUAUCAUUGUCAUUAUUUGAUGUUGUUUAAAAUCUCAGAUUUCAUCCCUCAAAGAACAGAUUUCAAUCACAAAGUCACCUCAUUUCUUUUGUAUUUUGGUAGGUCAAACCCAUAAAUUGUGUGAAUCAUUUCUGACCAUUUGACAUUCAACUUGAUAUCACCAAUGACCUUCAUGAUCUCUUUUAUCAAAAACUGUCUUUAAGAAACCGAUCCCUGACAUGAUCAUUUGGAACCAACAAUUGAUUUGUGAUUCUCUUUGAGAGAUUCUGCUGGUCUCAGAUUAAAGCCAAUUUCUAGCAGACUUUUCCAAUUCAAUUUCCAGGCAAAUGUAUCCUACGUUCUAGCUAUUAAGUCACUUUAAUACCAACCAUUUAAGUACAUUGUACAAAAGCCGGCGAAAGCGGAAGGGGGCCAUGGCCUCCCUACUUUUCUACAGAGCUAAUGGAAAAUUUUAGGCAAAAAUGGAAAUAAAUGUAGUAUAUAAUUCUGUUAGUAACUGUGCUUAGUAAUCCCUUACAUAUGCCUUUAGAUUUAGCUUGGUUGCUAUGACUUUUCCAUAGAAGACAUAUAUAAAUUUGAAUAUGGGAAAUAAGAUUAAAGAAAUCGGUCACUUUCUAAGUUGUACAACGGGUAACAGCUUGGCCUAGAAAAUAGAUCGAGAAACCUGAUCCAGCACAAAUUGGUGCCAGCACAAAUUGACGGAGUUUCGUUUCUUCUAUUGCCUGAACGUGGCUCACAAGGUCUAUUUGUUAACAACAAAUUUCUCAGGAACAUUGCAAAAAGAGAGAAAUUGCUAGCGAUGUGAAAGGGAAAGAAACUGACGAAAAGAAAAUUCUUGAGCACAUGAGAAAGAAAAAAUGGGCAGAUUUCUAUAAAAGUAAAAUCUAGAAAACUUCAACACUUGAUUGUAUCGAUAAUCCAUUCCUACUAAGAAAGAAAAUCUAGACGCAAUUAUAAUUCUAUCAAAACUAUUUUUGAUUUUUGUUAAAAGCACCUUUUUCCGAAAUUUUUAAGAUCAGAUGUUACAAAACAAUAUCCCAAGUGUACAAAUUGCUUAAUUUGCUUUUAUUUUAGUUGAUAGUUAUUCUGUUUUGUUAAACUUGUACAUAUUGAUUAAACAAAGCUUAAAGAUAUUGCCUCGGAUUUUCGAUUUGUUUGACUAUACAAAAGACCUAUCCUUACGUCUAAUCGUCUAUCAUAUAACGCCUCAGCACCUAUUGCUAACCCUCCAUGGUAAACUGACGGAAACACGAGAAAAAGAUUUCCAAAAACAUAUUUUUCUCUUUUUCUGUUGUUUCUCUUACUUAUUUUUUUUAUUGAACAACCCCCCCCCCUCUUCAAAGGUAGAAAUUUUAUUGCAGAUUUGCAAUUUUAUUAGAGACCAACUUUCUGAGCAUUGGGGGCGGUUGUCCCCCUUGUCCCCCUAGCUACGCUAUUUUUAAAAUCAUAUCCCCUUUUUCACAAACGCCUUCAUAGAGCGUCAAAAUCAAAGAAUAGAUUCCCAUUGAGGUCAGGGGCGCUAUUUUGAGGUGGGGGAUGUAUUUAUAUUUUUUUAUAUCGUUAUAAUUUUUGACCGUGGGCACUUUUUCCGACGAUUUACGGUAUGUAACAUUUACAAGAUUCUAAAAAAAUUAAUUAUCUCUUUACGUAAAGUUGCAAGACAUUGCCCACAUAGGUUGAAAUAACGGGGGCUUCGGGUGUGGUGUCAACCCCUUUGAAUUCUUCCCCCAACCUCAUUAUAAACAAAAAGACUGUAGAGGACGCCUCACAAAAUACAUACAAAAUAUUAUAAUAAAACAAAGAAAAAUAGAAUAGAGCAUGUAGUCAUUUUGCCGUUCUUUCGGCCGAUUGGCGGUUUCUUUCUUUCUUUCGUCUCAUUUGCUUUUCAAUCGCUGGCUAUUCCCAGAUUUGUUUAUUCCAGCCAAUCAGGUCCGAAGACUUUUACCUGCCUCGACUUGUCAAUCCCGCCAUUGUUGGUUUUUCUGCCUUACCAUUGUCCCGCAAGGCUACACAAAAUAAUAUGCAGUUUGAUAAAUCUACGAUUUCAGUAAACUAGAUUGAUUUCAUAGCAAUUCCAAGAUCGUUUUUCAUAUCGUCAACCCGGCGAAAAUGCAAAUAUGCGGAAAAUAUCACAUGGUUGCUUUAGCAACUAAGCCAGGGUGAAUAAGUACGUUGCUGUUGCUGCAUACUCAACGGGAAUCACCACUUCCACAAAAGUUUUGCGCACACUGCAAAUUCCAUAGCCUGUGUUGAUUGUGAACGUGAUGUUACAUCGGAAAGCUGAGUUUGUUAAGUUCGCAUAUAUUCAAGCCUUGGUCUUCUUGUAUGCUGUUCACUGUGAGGAGUAUCCUUGCCCAGAUGGACAAUUUCUUAAUACGUUGAAAUACGUGUGCGAGAAAUGCAAGGUCUGCUUGCCAGGCGAAUACGUGAGCAGACCUUGUAAUAGCGUGGAUGAUGCAGAGUGUGUUCGAUGCCCAAAUGGUACAUUUUCUGCAAAACCAAACCUUCGCCAGUGCAGAAAUUGCACUACUUGCAAAGUGACGUCUUACAUAUAUCUUUGCAAUUCGACAUCAGAUGCCGUUUGCUUGUUGGAGGAGCCGGAGAAGAGCAGUAAGCAAGAUGUCUUCAGCCUGGCAUUAGGACUGAUAAUCACGAUAAUAUCUGUGGUCGUCUUAGCUUGUGCCAUAAUUUACUCCGUUAGACGCAGAAGGCGGCGAAACUGCGAGGCGUCUACUCAGGGAGAAACUGAAAUGAUGGCUAUUCCUGAGCCUGGGCCGGAAGAAGAUGCGGGGGCAUGAUGACACAAGAGGACGACCCCUUUUAUGCAAUAUCAAAUGUGGUUAAAACGUAGGUACACAUGAAUGACACACGCAAACUACCCUUUAACUACACCCAAGUCCUUUACAUUCAAUGUCUUUUCAUAUUGACGAACAAUUGUUGGUACCCAUAGAUUCUAUUGCUAGAAGCUUCCGUUAAAAAACAUCUUUAAGAAAAGAAAUGGAUUUAAUCUUAAAAAGAUUGCUCUCUUCAAGAGAAAUGUACUAAGAAUCCUCAUCUGCACUUUAAUAUCUUACAAAACUCCCCUUCAUCUACCACGGAUAUGCAUUUGUAAAUUUUUGAACGAUUAUUUUGUAACUUAUUUUGUAUGCGUAAUGUCGUUACGUUGUAUUAGAUAAAGGGGAGUUUUAUUAAGACCUUUUAGUCAUUAAUUUGGUUUGUUAUAUUUGGGGAUUCUUGUUACGUAUGUGAAUUCUUAAAUAUCUGUAGAAUUGAUUAAUGCUAAGCCGAAUUUGCAUCAGAUAGUAAUUUUAUAGAACAUUAAUUAUUCUUGGUAAGUUAAAUUGUAAAAUUGAA